AGAGUUUGAUCCUGGCUCAGAUUGAACGCUGGCGGUAUGCUUAACACAUGCAAGUCGAACGAUGAGAAAGAGCUUGCUCUUUCGAUUAGUGGCGGACGGGUGCGUAACGCGUAGGAAUCUGCCUAUUAGUGGGGGACAACUUAGGGAAACUUAAGCUAAUACCGCAUACGCCCUACGGGGGAAAGGAGGGGAUCGCAAGACCUUUCGCUAAUAGAUGAGCCUGCGUAGGAUUAGCUAGUUGGUGGGGUAAAGGCCUACCAAGGCAACGAUCCUUAGCUGGUCUGAGAGGACGAUCAGCCACACUGGAACUGAGACACGGUCCAGACUCCUACGGGAGGCAGCAGUGGGGAAUCUUGCACAAUGGGCGACAGCCUGAUGCAGCAAUGCCGCGUGAGGGAAGACGGCCUUCGGGUUGUAAACCUCUUUCAGUUGGGAAGAAGGGUGGACGGUGAAUAGCCGGCUCACUUGACGGUACCUUCAGAAGAAGCUCCGGCUAACUACGUGCCAGCAGCCGCGGUAAUACGUAGGGAGCAAGCGUUGUCCGGAAUCAUUGGGCGUAAAGCGCGUGUAGGCGGUUACAUAAGUCUGUUGUGAAAGUCGGAGGCUCAACCUUCGAAAGCCGAUGGAUACUGUGUGACUUGAGUACGGAAGAGGAGAGUGGAAUUCCUGGUGUAGCGGUGAAAUGCGCAGAUAUCAGGAGGAACACCAACGGCGAAGGCAGCUCUCUGGGACGUUACUGACGCUGAGACGCGAAAGCGUGGGGAGCAAACAGGAUUAGAUACCCUGGUAGUCC
rnacentral:rRNA from 1 species